GACGAACGCUGGCGGCGUGCUUAACACAUGCAAGUCGAACGGAAAGGCCCUGCUUUUGUGGGGUGCUCGAGUGGCGAACGGGUGAGUAACACGUGAGUAACCUGCCCUUGACUUUGGGAUAACUUCAGGAAACUGGGGCUAAUACCGGAUAGGAGCUCCUGCUGCAUGGUGGGGGUUGGAAAGUUUCGGCGGUUGGGGAUGGACUCGCGGCUUAUCAGCUUGUUGGUGGGGUAGUGGCUUACCAAGGCUUUGACGGGUAGCCGGCCUGAGAGGGUGACCGGUACCAUGGGGACUGGGAUACGGCCAGGACUCUUCGGGGGGGCAGAGGUGGGGAUUAUUGCAAAAGGGGCGGAGGCCUGAUGCAGCACCGCCGCGUGCGGGAUGACGGCCUUCGGGUUGUAAACCGCUUUCGCCGGUGACGAAGCGUGAGUGACGGUAAUGGUAAAGAAGCACCGGCUAACUACGUG
rnacentral:rRNA from 1 species